AUUUCCCAACCUAAGGCAUCAUUACGUAUGACCUUGUGUCACCUUAUGCUUCAUUACUGAUCAUCAGCUGAGGGCUGAAGAGAGCUUUAUCUGUGGGCUGUGCUGCGGAGAAUGGCAGCAAAUGGAGAAUUGGGAAGGGCUGCUCAUCGGUCGUGGCAAAUGUUCUCCUUUGGAACCUCUGUUGUGCUCCCAGGCUCGUCCCUAAGCCUAGAUGGAGAGUAACGUUACCGAGGCUCAUAUUUUCCUUCUUGUCUGCUAACCAGAGGUGACAGGCUGUGAGCUGGAAGUGCUCCAUCUCCACUCCCUCCUGCAGCACCUGGGCUGUGUCCCAGCCAUGCACCAGCUGUACUUGCACUGUGUGCAGCAGGUUUUGGAGGUUUGCCCUUAUGGGACAUGGGAUGUGGCUGAGCUCUUGGGGUGCGCCGGGACCAUGCUGGAUCCAUGCAGUGCUGUGUCCAUGCAGUGCCAGGUCGCUGCCUGUCCUGCCGGUCCGCCUUGGUGAAGAAACAGACUUGGGGUGGAGCAGGGAUGCAGCUGGGGUGCAAGGCAAGGGCUGUGCUGUGGCCGAGUGUCUUCGUUCAAGACCCUCUCCACCAAUAAGGCCAUCCCUUUGGUUCUAAUGAAAUCCUGGGACCCACCACUGAGCCCCUUGGUAGGAAGCCUUCCCCUGACUUUGUGCUGGAACAAAGGCAGUUAAUGAUGGUUUUGUACUUGGCCGGGGAAUGGCGAUAAGGAGAGAACAAACGUUGCAUCCCUUGGAGAGGCAGCAUCUCUCAUUACGUAUCCUGGAUCUCUGUUAUGGCUUUGAUCUGAUCUGAGGAACGAGAAGGAGAUGACUUAAAUGAAAUUAAGGGGUAGAAGCAGAGUUCUGGAAGGAGAUCCUGGGUGUGUUGUGCUCAGGGGUGUCAGGAAGGCUCCCCCAUAAGCCGCCCUGGGGGCUGCAGGGCUCAGUCCUACAGAUGCUGGGUCUCCAUGAGUGGAGUUCGUUAUACUGCUUGAUUACAUGUGUACCUUUCAGCAGCUGAUUAAGAGGGUUUGAUUGCUGAAUUUGAACUCCGAUUAGUUUAGUGGGGGCACCAAAACUAAUGACAUUUACAUGAAUUAGCUUCAGAUAUCAGAGUCCAGGGAUGACAUGGAGUCUUUGCUAUGUCUUUGGUAAGAAAUUCUAUAUUAGACUGUACAGAAAGUCAGUUUCUUAUGUACUGCUCAUUGAAAAAAAUAAUUUUCAUUACCUUUAUACAUUAAAUCCCUCACACAUUUGCUGAUAUUCCUCUGCAUGUUAGCCUCAUGGCUUUUUAAAGGAGUUUUAAAUGAAUGUUCAAAUUAUUCUGUGAAGCACUAUGAGCAUCUGUUCAACUCUUAGAUUCUUUUCUGGCAUUUCUUCAUUAGAUGUGGGAGGGGGCACCGGGAAGGCAGUGGAGAUGCAGGCUAUAAAAAUGCCACAGAGGCACGGGAAGCAUUUGUUGGAGGAGUGCUCUGUGUAUUCUCAUGCAUUUCUUUUAGAAGUGCCCCCACGUCAUUGGGUAGAGUUUUUCAAGGGCUGUGAGGGUCAGCUGAGGAAUGGCUGCAAAUGGAGCAAUUGCCUGCAGCUGCCAGGCAGCUCUGCAGCACAGGUGGGGCUGGGUUUCUGGUUAAGAAAUCAAAUGGCUGAAAAUGGACGUGUUUGGGUGAAGGUUCAGGGAUGUACAACGAUGUCCAGGUGGGUAAAUGGCUUCUGCUCAGCUCUGUGGGCUGCCUGCAUUCAGGACAGUGCUGUUAUUGCUGCUUCAUACUUGGAAACCAGUUUAUUGGCUGGCUAUGGAAAGCCUUCUGUUAAGAUUAAAUCCCAUGUCCCCGAAGACUGAGUUUUAUGUUAGCUGUAAAUCAGUGUGGAAUUGUUAGGGCUAAGGUGAGGUUUCGGGUUAGGGUUCAGCAAAGCAUCCACAGGAACCCAUUUUAUUCUUGAUCCUGUAAAUCCCUGCUGGGGAUGAAAGGCUAAUCGGUGCUUAUCGUGUGAUAGCGGUGGCUCCUGGGGCUGUUUUAUGCCCAGGUUUUGUUAAAUGAAUUUUCAGAGAACCCCAAUGCUCAGGGAUGUGAUUCAUGGCUGCAUCUUGGCCUGUGUUUUUAUAGAUCUGCAAGGAAUCACUGGAAAACCUUUGUCUUUUUCCCCAGGUUUUGAAAGCCAAAGCCUAACCCUGUGGUACCUGAACUGUUGGCAUAAACUCAGCUCAGAAGGCAAUAUGAACCAUUUGUCAAUGAAAGCAGCAGCACGCAUUUAGCCCUGCAGGCUUUCAAGUAUUACCCAAUAAAACAAGCUUCUCCAUCCUUUCUGAAACCCCCACAUCGUGUUUCUGGCCUGCCUGUGGUUGUUCCACGGCUCUGUGAGGCUUUGUGCCUCUGAAAAGCCCC
ensembl:lncRNA